rnacentral:rRNA from 1 species
UACGUAGGGCGCGAGCGUUGUCCGGAAUUAUUGGGCGUAAAGAGCUCGUAGGCGGUCUGUCGCGUCGAUCGUGAAAACUUGGGGCUCAACCCCAAGCUUGCGGUCGAUACGGGCAGGCUAGAGUUCGGUAGGGGAGACUGGAAUUCCUGGUGUAGCGGUGAAAUGCGCAGAUAUCAGGAGGAACACCGGUGGCGAAGGCGGGUCUCUGGGCCGAUACUGACGCUGAGGAGCGAAAGCGUGGGGAGCGAACAGG